rnacentral:rRNA from 1 species
UUUAAGUGGAGAGUUUGAUCCUGGCUCAGAACGAACGCUGGCGGCGUGCCUAACACAUGCAAGUCGAACGAGAAACUCCGGGCUUGCUCGGAGGAGUAAAGUGGCGCACGGGUGAGUAACGCGUGGGUAACCCACCCUUGAAACCGGGAUAACCCCGCGAAAGCGGGACUAAUACCGGAUACGGUUUUUUAGGCUCCGGCCUUUGGAAUUAAAGGUGACCUCUUCAUGAAAGUUGCCGUUCAGGGACGGGCUCGCGUACCAUUAGCUUGUUGGUAGGGUAAUGGCCUACCAAGGCUACGAUGGUUAGCUGGUCUGAGAGGAUGAUCAGCCACACUGGAACUGGAACACGGUCCAGACUCCUACGGGAGGCAGCAGUGAGGAAUUUUGCGCAAUGGGGGAAACCCUGACGCAGCAACGCCG